UCUCUGAUAGCUCAAUCUGGUAGAGCAAUUGACUGUUAAUCAAUGGGUUGUUAGUUCAAAUCUAACUCAGAGAG
rnacentral:tRNA from 1 species